rnacentral:rRNA from 1 species
ACUUCAUGGGCGCAGCCUGAUGCAGCCAUGCCGCGUGUAUGAAGAAGGCCUUCGGGUUGUAAAGUACUUUCAGCGGGGAGGAAGGGAGUAAAGUUAAUACCUUUGCUCAUUGACGUUACCCGCAGAAGAAGCACCGGCUAACUCCGUG